rnacentral:rRNA from 1 species
UACGAAGGGUGCAAGCGUUGCUCGGAAUUACUGGGCGUAAAGCGUGCGUAGGUGGUUUGUUAAGUCUGAUGUGAAAGCCCUGGGCUCAACCUGGGAAUUGCAUUGGAUACUGGCAGGCUAGAGUGCGGUAGAGGGUAGUGGAAUUCCCGGUGUAGCAGUGAAAUGCGUAGAGAUCCGGAGGAACACCAGUGGCGAAGGCGACACGCUGGGCCGUACCUGACGCUGAGGCGCGAUAGCAUGGGGAGCAAACAGG